rnacentral:rRNA from 1 species
ACUGGUCGAGUCGGCCUGCGCGGAAGAUGUAACGGGGCUAAAUUAUGCACCGAAGCCGCGGCAGCGAUAUGUAAAUAUUGUUGGGUAGGGGAGCGUUCUGUAAGCCUGUGAAGGUGACCUGUGAGGGUUGCUGGAGGUAUCAGAAGUGCGAAUGCUGACAUAAGUAACGAUAAUGCGGGUGAAAAACCCGCACGCCGGAAGACCAAGGGUUCCUGUCCAACGUUAAUCGGGGCAGGGUGAGUCGACCCCUAAGGC